rnacentral:rRNA from 1 species
CGGGAAACUGGGGAUAAUACCGCCUAAGUUCCACGGAGGAAAGCGGGGGAUCUUCGGACCUCGCGCCAUUAGAUGAGCCCAAGUCCGAUUAGCUAGUUGGCCGGGUAAAGGCCUAACACGGCGACGAUCGGUAGCUGGUCUGAGAGGACGAUCAGCCACACUGGGACUGAGACACGGCCCCGACUCCUACGGGAGGCAGCAGUGGGGAAUAUUGGACAAUGGGCGCAAGCCUGAUCCAGCAAUGCCGCGUGUGUGAAGAAGGCCUGCGGGUUGUAAAGCACUUUAAGCAGGAAAGAAGGGGUGGAAGUUAAUACCUUUCAUCAUUGACGUUACCUGCAGAAUAAGCACCGGCUAACUCCGUGCCAGCCGCCGCGGUAACA